CUCAGGUUUCUGAGGUAAACCCUGAAAUCACAAUGCACCAAUCCUCUCUGUCUUGCAGGGCUGCCUGUGCCCAGUGGGGAGUGUGCUGCUGGCUUUUACUGUGCAGGGGGAGCUGCUGGCCCCAAACCCACGGAUGGUGUCACCGGGAACAUCUGCCCCACGGGCUCCUACUGCACUGCAGCAUCAGCCGCGCCCCAGCCCUGCCCGGCGGGCACCUUCUCCAGCCUGCCAGGGAGGAGAGCCCUGUCUGAGUGCCAGCCCUGCCCCUCUGGCUUCUACUGCGAGGAGCCCGGCCUCAGUGCCCCCUCUGGGGAGUGCAGGGAAGGGUUUUUCUGUGACAGCCAGCAAGGGCCACUCAUCGAUGUCACCCUGUUCCCCUGCCCGCGGGGCUUUUACUGCCCAGCAGGGACCAGCAGCAGCUCCCAGCACAGCUGCCCUGCAGGGACCUUCGGGGCCAGGCAGAAACUGAAAUCCCUGCAGGAAUGCCAGAGAUGCCCAGCAGGAAAAUACUGUGAAGUGCCAGGCCUGGCUGCCCCAACAGGUAAAUCACUGCUCU
rnacentral:lncRNA from 1 species